UGGGGAAUUUUGGACAAUGGGCGAAAGCCUGAUCCAGCAAUGCCGCGUGUGUGAAGAAGGCCUUCGGGUUGUAAAGCACUUUUGUCCGGAAAGAAAUCCUCUGGGUUAAUACCUCGGGGGGAUGACGGUACCGGAAGAAUAAGCACCGGCUAACUACGUGCCAGCAGCCGCGGUAAUACGUAGGGUGCAAGCGUUAAUCGGAAUUACUGGGCGUAAAGCGUGCGCAGGCGGUUUUGUAAGACGGAUGUGAAAUCCCCGGGCUUAACCUGGGAACUGCAUUCGUGACUGCAAGGCUAGAGUAUGGCAGAGGGGGGUAGAAUUCCACGUGUAGCAGUGAAAUGCGUAGAGAUGUGGAGGAAUACCGAUGGCGAAGGCAGCCCCCUGGGCCAAUACUGACGCUCAUGCACGAAAGCGUGGGGAGCAAACAGGAUUAGAUACCCUGGUAGUCCACGCCCUAAACGAUGUCAACUAGUUGUUGGGGAUUCAUUUCCUUAGUAACGUAGCUAACGCGUGAAGUUGACCGCCUGGGGAGUACGGUCGCAAGAUUAAAACUUAAAUGAAUUGACGGGGUCAUAGCU
rnacentral:rRNA from 1 species